GAGCAGGAAUCAAUGCCCGGCCAGCGGGGCCUCCCUACGCUCUUUCCGUAACGCCACUCCGGCGCGCGCCCCGACCUGCCUUAGACAGUUUAGGGAAUAGCGACCAGCUAUAUAGAAACAGCGCAACCCGUCCUACCGCAUCUGGUCUUCAGAGCCAAUAGUUGCUGGUAUCCAUGUUCCCUCAGUGAUAAGUGUACAUUGUGAGGAGGCAUCAGCAUUACAGGAGUUCAUAUAAGGUGGGGAUGGUCCUCCGAUUCAACCCGUUGUUCCCUGCUAUAACAAGUACCACACAGGCAGCUUUCAAACCAUGUUCUUCAGGAACCACCUCUGGGGACAACUGGAAUUCAGUCUCUAUGGCCCAUUCCAUCACUAAUGAUACUACCAGUUAGAGACAACUGAACAGUUAGUUUUACGAUUUUGACUCCUGCCUGCAAAAAUACAAAACAAAAACAAAACUACAACACACUUGCCCCUGCAAAGUCAUUUCACUUAAGGAGCCAAACUUCUAUUCAGUACAGAGCUGAGAUUGAUUCAAGCUACCAAAUGAGAGGUGAAACAGUCAGUUUAGAAGUGAAAGUUUGUCCCUUUUUCCCAACCCCCUGAGCCAUCUGGCUUUCCAUGUAUUUUUGUAUUGGGGGGGGGUGUAUAAAUGUGGGUUGGAUUGAUGAAGAAGUGUGGCUCAGGCCCAAGAAGAGAUAAAAUGUUAAUAAAAAUCUUGUUUACUUCUACAAACAUUACAAAGUUAAACAUUGUGUGACAUGUUAGCAAUAGCUUACCCCAUUGUAAGAACCACCAUUAGUAACUUUUUCUUAAACAUACAGAAAGAGGGUGGGGGUGGGGAAAGAGAUAAUGCAUGUGAAACUUAAAAAGUUAAAUAAAAACUCCAUUUUAACAAUU